AACACAGAAAAGGCCGAACGCAUAGAUGGCCCAGCCCAACUACUGCUUGCCUGCGGAGGGGGAUGCGCCGGCGGAGGUCUCCGGCGAGCGAGCGGAAACCAUGGAACGGAGCGGCGGCGGCGGCUGCUGCCGAGGGCGUAGUUUUCCUCCACAGCUUCUCCUACCGUGGACGCGUCGCCAGGCCGAGACCCCACAGCGGCCGCCUCAGUCAUCUAAAUAGAACAGAUUUGUGUACACGUGCAUACUCUCAGAGUCCCAAUCUCCGCCAAACAACCGCACUACAUACGUCCUGGAAAGGGUCUUGUUCAAACCUUGUGCAAAAUCAAGGCAGAAAAGCGUCCCAACAAAGUGUGGCAAAAGGGCAGGAUCCGGAGAGGUGAUCCCCGGUUUCUGUGCAAUUUAAGGUUGCACAUGACGGGAAGAGUAAUUUGCUAAGGCCUAACAACCCACGUCCUCUUAAAAGCACUACAGACUGGUGCAGAGGCUGCAUGCCCGUGGAGGAUUUGGUAAACUUUUUGUGCAAAAUUUGUAGCAGAUGAUGAAGAAGAAGAACGAAACACAGAAAGAUAGCUUCUGGGGAGAUACCCGCCUUACAGAGCCUCAAGGAAAGUGUUGUUCAUUCCCUUGCAUUUUCUCAUUCGUCUCGAGUCUUUUUCUGUGAACAGUCAUUUGCUCACUCUUGUCCUCUCCAGGUGUAGCCUGCAUCACGAAGCGCCGUUUCGCAGGGAAACAAACUAUCUCUGGAGGAGAGCAGCCAAACAAAAAGCAAAAGCAUCAGUGAGCUGACAUAUUUCUUGCAGUAGCUGAGGAGUAAGAUGGAAGCACUAGACCCAGAGGUACUUGCCCUCGAAGCCUUCGUCCAAGAAGAUCAACCAGUGAAUUGAUACGCCACAGUCCUCCUUAGAUCACAUUUUUUGUAGGAUAUCCGAGAUGGUCGAUAGUCAUUCUUUAAGAGGGGGGUCAUUUACCCUAAAGGUAUGCAUCACUAUUUCCUGGACAUUCUGUUCGCCAUGUUUCUGUGGAUCAAUUGUCUCUGUUCAUUGAUUGUUGUCCAAAGUUUACUUCCAGAUUUGAUUGGAUUCAAUGCUACACAAACAGCAUGUUAUUUUGCUUUGUAUCGGACAAUUUGACUAGCAA